rnacentral:rRNA from 1 species
GUGCAGCAGGCGAGAAAACUUCACACUGUGCGAAAGCACGAUGAGGGAAUCCCAAGUGCUUGCACGUAAGUGUAAGCUGUUUCUCUGUCUAAAACGCAGAGAGAGUAAGGGCUGGGUAAGACGGGUGCCAGCCGCCGCGGUAAUACCUGCAGCUCAAGUGGUGACCGUUAUUAUUGGGCCUAAAAACGUCCGUAGCCGGUUUAAUAAAUGCCUGGGUAAAUUGUGUAGCUUAACUAUACGAAUUCCGGGUAGACUGUUAAACUUGAGACCGGGAGAAGUUAGAGGUACUCCUGGGGUAGAGGUGAAAAUUCUGUAAUCCUAGGGGGACCACCAGUGGCGAAGGCGUCUAACUAGAACGGGUCUGACGGUGAGGGACGAAGCCCUGGGGCGCAAACGGGGAUUAGAUACCCCGUAGU